GAACCUACUGUCUUCCUCUCGCUCCAACACACGGACACCAACACAUCUUCGUCUUAUCGUAUGUCUUUCUUUGAUCUCCUCAACGAGCGCGCCAAGCGCUCGCUGCUCUGCGUCGGCCUCGACCCGCGCGCCAAGACGGCAGCUGCGGCGGUGAAGGAGUGCAAGCGCUUGAUUGAGCAGACGCACGAGUACGCCGCUGCCUACAAGCCGAACGCGGCCUUCUUCGAGUUUUUCGGCGCCGAGGGCUGGGCAGCGCUGUCGGAAGUGAUUCGUGCCGUUCCCGCUGGCAUCCCCGUGGUGCUGGAUGCGAAGCGCGGUGACAUCGCUGACACCGCCGACGCGUACGCCACCUCCGCCUUCAAGCACCUGAACGCGCACGCCAUCACUGCCUCGCCGUACAUGGGCUCUGACAGCCUUCAGCCGUUCAUGCGCUACCCCGACAAGGCUGUGUUUGUACUUUGCAAGACGUCGAACAAGGGCAGCAACGAUUUGCAGUGCCUGCGCGUAGGUGACAGGUACCUGUACGAGGCCGUUGCCGAGCGCGCCGAGGGCCCGUGGAACGUGAACGGCAACGUCGGCCUGGUCGUCGGGGCAACGGACCCAGUCGCGCUGGCUCGCGUGCGCGCGCGUGCGCCAACGCUGUGGUUCCUGGUGCCGGGCAUCGGCGCCCAGGGCGGCAGCCUCAAGGCGAGCCUUGAUGCGGGUCUCCGCGCCGAUGGCAGCGGCAUGCUCAUCAACGUGUCGCGCGGCCUCGCCCGCGCGGCUGACCCACGCGCCGCCGCGAAGGAGCUGUGCGAGGAGAUCAACGCGAUCCGCUUCGCCAAAGGCGCCUCCGUCGAGCUGGCGAAGGCACUGGUGGACUCACAUUGCGUGCGCUUCGGCAACUUCACGCUCAAGUCAGGCAGGUCCUCGCCGAUCUACAUUGACCUGCGCCGCCUUGUCACGUACCCGGCCAUCAUGCGGCUCGUGGCUCGCGAAUACGCGAAGGUGCUGCGCCAUUACAAGUUCGACCGUAUCGCCGGCCUGCCGUACGCCGCGCUACCCAUCGCUAGCGCCAUCUCCAACGAGAUGAACGUCCCGCUCAUCUACCCCCGCCGGGAGGCGAAGAUCUACGGCACAAAGGCGGCCAUCGAGGGCGAGUACAAGAAGGGCGACCGCGUUGUCAUCAUCGACGACCUCGUGUCCACUGGUGAGACCAAGGUCGAGGCGAUUGAGAAGCUUAGAUCUGCUGGGCUUGAGGUGGUGUCGAUAGUGGUGCUGGUGGACCGCGAUAUGGGUGCCAAGGCCUUCUUGAACAAGCUCGGCUACGACUUUGAGGCCGUGGUGGGGCUCCACCAGCUGCUGCCGCUCUGGCGUAAGAGCAACGCCAUCACUUCCCAGCAGGAGGCGGAUGUGCGCGCCUUCCUCGGUCAGUGGAAGCAGAGCAAGCUAUAAACACACCUAUAAGUAACGCACUACCCCCCCCCCCCCCCCCCCCCCUGUACACACGCACACGCGAGGAGCUGCGAAGGGGAAAGCGGGUGCGAGCAUGCCAGUGGUGGGUACACGACCGGCUCAAAGGACGCGUACGACGAAACGAGACGGUGUGUCUAGUGUGUGUGUGUGUGUGUGUGUCUGAAAACGGACGAGGGCGAAGCGCGCGCUCGCGCACCCAUGAUGAUGGACGGGCCGUAUGCGUCCCCGUCUGUGCAUAGGUGCGCGCAUAGUCAAUGAUGUAAUGGAAGCCAUCUCGCAACCGCACGGCACACACGCAUAGUUGUGUAUACACCCGAAAACAACUGCACUUCACACGCCCGCACUCGCUCUUGUUUUAUUAGUAUUCUCUGUGCUCCUCCGUGUCUCCCUCCCGCUCUCUCUCUCUCUCUGUGCGUGUGUGCGUGCGCAGCGCAAAGGAGGCGAGUGCGGAGGGGGCGCGCCCGUUUUUUUUUUAUCUAUCUCAUAAAGGACGACGUAAAGCAACCGUUGAAGUGUACGUGUAGCGUGCGUGUGUGCCAUGCGCGCAAGCGUGCUCGUGUACACGAGAUGCGCUCGAGAGUGCGAGACAUAAAAGCGACCCAGGUAGCACAGCGGUGGCGAUGAAUCCUUUUAGCGAAGGGGCGAUGGGAGCGAAGGGUCUCCGUUACAGUGCGGCAACACUGGCUGUGAAGGAGGAGGGGUAGUUGGGUGGUGAAAGAGGGAAGACUGACAGCCGGUGCUGCAGCUGUCAGUCCCUAUGUAUGUGUCUGCGUGCUGGUGUGGCUGUGCAUGUACUCGCCUACUCCCGAACCCUCCCCCUCCCACACGGAAGUUCUUUCUCGCCUCUCUGCUCUCACGCUAUCGACGUGACGCGCUGCUCAGACGCCCCUGUUCGGGCUGAGCUCACCACUUUAGCCUGCAUUGCUGCUGCUUUCUCUCUCUAUAUUGCACACCCUCCUCUUACGCGCACACCGGCACACGCUCCGGUGCAUACACACAG
rnacentral:misc_RNA from 1 species